AUUGAACGCUGGCGGCAUGCUUUACACAUGCAAGUCGAACGGCAGCGAGGAGAAGCUUGCUUCUCUGUCGGCGAGUGGCGAACGGGUGAGUAUAGCAUCGGAACGUGCCAAGUAGUGGGGGAUAACCAAACGAAAGUUUGGCUAAUACCGCGUAAGCUCUAAGGAGGAAAGUAGGGGACCUAAAUAAGGCCUUACGCUAUUUGAUCGGCCGAUGUCGGAUUAGCUAGUUGGUGGGGUAAUGGCUCACCAAGGCAAUGAUCCGUAGCGGGUCUGAGAGGACGAUACGCCACACUGGGACUGAGACACGGCCCAGACUCCUACGGGAGGCAGCAGUGGGGAAUUUUGGACAAUGGGGGAAACCCUGAUCCAGCAAUGCCGCGUGUAUGAAGAAGGCCUUAGGGUUGUAAAGUACUUUUGUUAGGGAAGAAAAGCUAGUUUUUAAUAAAGAUUAGUGAUGACGGUACCUAAAGAAUAAGCGCCGGCUAACUACGUG
rnacentral:rRNA from 1 species